rnacentral:rRNA from 1 species
GACGAACGCUGGCGGCGUGCCUAAUACAUGCAAGUCGAGCGGACCGAACAGGAGCUUGCUCUUGUUCGGUUAGCGGCGGACGGGUGAGUAACACGUGGGUAACCUGCCCGUAAGACCGGGAUAACUCCGGGAAACCGGAGCUAAUACCGGAUAACACCGAAGACCGCAUGGUCUUUGGUUGAAAGGCGGCUUCGGCUGCCACUUACGGAUGGGCCCGCGGCGCAUUAGCUAGUUGGUGAGGUAACGGCUCACCAAGGCGACGAUGCGUAGCCGGCCUGAGAGGGUGACCGGCCACACUGGGACUGAGACACGGCCCAGACUCCUACGGGAGGCAGCAGUAGGGAAUCUUCCGCAAUGGACGAAAGUCUGACGGAGCGACGCCGCGUGAGCGAAGAAGGUCGUCGGAUCGUAAAGCUCUGUUGUUAGGGAAGAAGAAGCGUCGUUCGAACAGGGCGGCGCGGUGACGGUACCUAACGAGAAAGCCCCGGCUAACUACGUG